rnacentral:lncRNA from 1 species
AUGUUGACUGUGUGCUCACAGAGACGUUUAUCUGAGGCUAAGGCCACCUUGUCCCCACUGCCGGGUCAGGGUCUGUGGGGUGGGAGGCUGAGGACAGGCCACCCCCGUCCAGCGUGUGCCCCUGCCUCUGGCCACCCAGAACUCCCACCAGGAGACGCCGACCUCCCAGAUAAGCAAGAAGCUGAAAAAUCAGCCUCUCCUCCCUCCCUGCGCUCAGCCACUUCCCCCGGGACCCUCACUCCAUGUGCAGCUCCCGCCGGCCCUCCCGCCGGGCCGCCCGGCCCCUCCCGCCCGGCCUGCUGCCGCCGCCGCGGGCCCGCGGCCGCUGGACAGCGCCGGCCUCCAGAAGUGAUAGCUAAUUGGGCAGAGAAAGGGCCCGAUUGUCUGGCGGGGCCGGAAGAGCGGGCGUGGGCGGCUGAAAGCGCCCGGAGAAGGUGGCCGGCUUCGCCCAGCAGCUGCCGCCGGAGACGUUUGGAGAUUACGUCAGCGCCGGGCCGCGAGCCUCCCGCCGGCCGGACAAUGCGGCCCUUGUCGGCCCCGAGCGCCGCCCGCGCGCGCUGAAUGGCGCGGGGCCUCUUCUCCAAGGAGGCCGCUCGCCGUCCCCGAGCUGUCCUCUCCCGCCAGGGAGGCCCCUGCGCUGGGGCGCUGAGGGAGCGGGCUCGGUGCCUUAGGGGAGGCGACCCCGGGGCUGGGCGGCGCUCGGGGGGCGUGGGGGGCCGCUCCUCUGGGUGGGGGCGGGGAGGCUGCCCUCGCCAUGGCCUCCUGGCUUGGGGGCAGCAUGGCCCCCGACCCGCUCCUGGUCCUGCUGGUCAUCAUCUUGUUGGCACGCUUCUUUCUGUGGUCCUGCCUGGGCACCUACAUCGAUUAUAGAUUGGGCCGGCGGCAGCCCCGCAAACGUAAGAAGGACUAGGGCCUCCGCCGGCCUGUGGCCUGGAGCUCCAGGCACCCCGGAGCCCUCCCUUCGGGAGGGUGUGUCCCAGAGAGGAUCUGUCCUGGGACCCAGGGUGGGGGUGGGGCGGGGUGCAGAGCGGGGAGACCACCCCCCCCCGCAGCCCCCUUGCGGGGCAGAGAUGGCCCAGCCCCACCAGGACUGUCCUGGCCACCUCCUGCAUCCCACGUCAGGGGGUGGAGGGGCCCCCCUGCCUGUCUAUCCAUGAGGUUGUGGGGGUCCCUGUCAGAGUGAGUGAUCCUGGGGGUGGGUCUCACUUUUAAGACUGUCUCUCUACUUCCAGUUCUUUAUAAAUCUGUUUGCAGGAAGAGGCGGGGGAUGAGCCAGAGGGGCUGGUCCGGGGGGAGGGCAGUGGUCCAAGGACAGAUGUGACCACAUCACAGGCCCGCCCUACCUCCUAAAGCCACCCUGGACUCUGCCUCUGGCAGGGAGGAGACUGACCUCAGACUGUGCCUUGGUUUCCUCAGAGCAGACCCCUGGGGGAGGGGGUCUCAAGACAGACUUGUGACCGUGAGUCCAAGUCCAGCUCCAGUUGACCGUGGGCAAACUCACUUUCCCCAUCUCUUAAGUGGACUCACUAGUCCCUAGCCCCCCCUCCCCCAAGAAGGUUAUUACCAGGAGGGGCAGGGGAGAGGUGGGCUGAGCCAUUCCCCUCCCCCCUGCCACCGUCCCCCUCCCCCCUGCCACCAUCCCCCUCCCCCUGCAGUCUGUAACCUGCAGGACACACGGAGGAUGGUUUAGUGAGAAGCCACGGGACCCAAGGCCCUCUGCUCCUUUGUGCUUUCAAGGAUGUGGCUGAGACAUCCCUGAGAAGACGGACAGGCAGGGAAACUCGACUGGAGCCCAAGAAGCCACUGCCCUCUGCGCCCUCAUCCCGUCACACCCUGAACUAAAGGGCCCACGAGGUGGCUCCGUGCUUCUCGAUCUGGCGGCAGAUUCGAAUCACCCAGGCGGUGUUGGCAGUGCCAGUGGCUGAGUCCCCCAGACUGAGAAGCAUCGGCUGAUUCGAGAUAUUCCUGGCAGGCCAGAGCCUGGUGACACCGUGAAUUCCAAAAGGGCUUGGCUCAGCUGGGAAUCUUCGGCGGCCGUUAGAGGUCCGGAGUCACUGACCUGGGUGAGCGGACGCUUGGGCCCUGGUAGCUGGGAGCCAUCCGCCUUGCGGCAUCCUGGCAGAAGGGACCACGGCGUGAUCCGUCCAGGCCUGUGUACGUGGCUGUCCUCUGGGCAGUCGUAUAGCCAGUGGCUGAGCAGAACCCGUGCCUCUUUGUAAAGACGAUUGGUCAUGGGGUGUCUGAGGGCUCUGGUCACUGGGUUAGGGGAGGGGGUGUUCUUGUUCUCUUUAGGGAAACUGUCAUCCAAUUUUCUUUAAAAUGAUCACGUGUGAUUUUGCUGAUCUUUCUAAGGAAGGGGAAUCACAUUUGUUGUCAUGAGCAUGUACUAGUGGAGGGAAGUUUGCUGGUAUUGCCAGGUUUUAAAACAGAAAGUCCCACGGCCCAAGAGACCCCUCCCUCCUGGCUAAAGCAGCCCCUUGGAUGGAGGGAGAAGUCAGAUGUUCACAUGACACGCUCAAGUCUGCCCCACUGUUGAGUGUGUGUGACCUGUGUGUAGCCUGCUUGGGACCUGCGUGUCCACAUGGGCAUGCAGAUUUGAGGUCCACCGUUUGGUACGUGGGGUUUUCCUGGUGGCUCAGUGGUAAAGAACCCGCUUGCCAAUUCAGGAGAUCCAAGAUGUGGGUUUACUCCCUGGGUCAGGAAGAUCCCCUGGAGGAGGAAAUGGCAACCCACUUCAGUAUUCUUGCCUGGAGAAUUCCAUGGACAGAGGAGCCUGGUGGGCUAAAGUCCAAACGUCGCAAAGAAUCAGACACGACUUAGUGGCUAAACAACAAUAAGAACAACAGUUUUGUCCGUGAGCUGAUAUUCCAGAGUUUUUGCUGGAAUUGGGGAGGGGACUCACUCUUCUGUUGGGCUUGUCUAGUGGAGGGAUGGAACCAUGGGAGGAGACAGGAUUCUGCUGGCAUUGUCUGAGCCCCUUUCCAGUUUCAUUGACCCAUAGAUUUCUCAUCUGUUUCCCUUAAGCCAGUUCACACUGGUUUCUAUUACUUGCAACUGACAAACUAGAUGCAAAUCUGAUGCAAUUAGUCAUCAGAAUUUUGUCAAAAUUGCUCAUCAGAGUACAAGUCUUGUGUAUCUACACAUCGACAGUUUACAGCCUCCUGACAUGGGCCUGACUCAGUGUAAGCAGUUGAAACACUGUGGCUGGGUGAAUAAGAGGCUGUGCUCUGGUCAUUCAUAGGCAGUGGUUGCAUUCAGUACAAGGAACAGAUAUAACGAAGCUUCUUUUUCUCUUUCUUUCCAUUUUUCUUUUACAUGGAGCAAGAAGUCUGACAUUUGGUAAUCCUAGGCUGUGGUAUGGCAGCUCCAUGAUGUCAUUAAGAACCUACACCCUUCUGUAUUUCUACUCUGCCAUCCUUAGGAUGUAGCUUUGGUCUUCAUGGUUACAAGAAGGCUGCAGCUACUCCAGGAACCUUGAGUGAGUUCCAGUUAGAGAAAGAAAGGAGCGAUAGAGAGGGAAAGGUAUCUAUAUCAGAGAGGCAAAGCUUCCUAGAAACCCUUAGUUUCAUGCCAUAAACUAGAAUUACGGCCCAUGGCAUCUCUAGAUGCUGAGAAAUUGUUUCUUGGCCAUUCUUUGUAAUUGCAGCCUAUAUCCAGAACACUGUUCAGGGGUCUUUGUGUGUCUUCAGUGGCAUCCUUAUGUGCUAGUUUUUCCCUUGUCUGCCUUUGAGAAAUAUCAGCUGUACUCAGCUGUCCUUGGCAGCUCCACCCUGGAGUCAGAGUGUGGAGCUUCUCAUGGCUCCUUGGGGGCUUUUAAGAGUUUGGUCCAGUAAGAAGUCCAGAGAUGAAAGAAACUUAUUCCUUCUUAGAGGUGCUUGGAGAUGCUUCUUUAGUCACACCUGGUGGCAGUAGAUAGACUGCAGCACAGGGAAGGUAGGCCGUGAAUAGCUGGUGGCUGGGUGAAUGACAGUGAAGGGCAGCAGGUGGAUAAACGGAGGGGCAUUGCCCGUCCUUAACUCAGAAAGUAUCACUGGGGCUCACAGUCUCACAACGUGGGGGGCACCGAGAAUACCGUGAUAAGGGUAAAGUAGAGCUUGCCCUUCAGGUAGCUUGCAGUCUCGGAGCCAAGAAAUGGGCAGCUAGACUAGAAGCAGGAAUUAGACCUGCACAAGAUCCGUGAGGCUCUCAACCACUAAGACUGUGGCCAGUGUAAAUUGGAAUGUCCUCUAAGUGUGAAACACACCAGAUUUUGAAGGCUGGGUGCAGAAACUAAUGUAAAAUCUAAUUAACAAUGGUUUUCUAUCGAUUAUAUGUUGAAAUAAUAUUUUGGACACCUUGGGUUAAAUAAAACAUUAAGAUUAAUCUCACCUGUUUCUCUGAAUGCACUUUAGUGUGGCUACUGGAAUAUUCAAAAUUGUAUGUAACUUGCAUUAUUUUUUUAUACUGCAUGGACUGCAGCAGACCUUUAUAAUGCAGUGAGAAUGUUAUGGUGUGUGAAUGGAUUCUGUGGGAACACAGAAGGGCAAUUCCUGGAGGAGGGGUCUUAAGUGAUAAUGUAAAUACAUCAAACUAGAACCAGUGAGAUGCAGCUAAAACAAUCCUUGGAGGAAAAGCUAUAGCCACAAAUGCAUUUAUUAAUAAACAUGAAGUGAAGUGAUGUCAAAGUCGCUCAGUUGUGUCUGACUCUUUGUGACCGUAUGGACUGUAUAGUCCAUGGAAUUCUCCAGGCCAGAAUACUGGAGUGGGCAGCCUUUCCCUUCUCCAGGGGAUGUUCCCAACCCAGGGAUUGAACCCAGGUCUCCCACAUUGCAGGCAGAUUCUUUACCAGCUGAGUCACAGUUCAGUUCAGUUCAGUCGCUCAGUCGAGUCCAACUCUUUGUGACCCCAUGAACCGCAGCACACCAGGCCUCCCUGUCCAUCAC